rnacentral:rRNA from 1 species
AACUACCUGAAUUACGUAUGAUUACCUGCCGAACUUAAGCAUAUCAGUAAGCAGAG